rnacentral:lncRNA from 10 species
AGAAGGAGUUGAGUGAUGGUAGAUAUCAGGCCCUGGUCUGCGGCUUGGAAGUUUCCUGUGAAUAAGAAAAACAUCAUCGCUUCUUGAGUCACAAGGAUGAUAGGAUGAGAAAAAGAAAGGACAAAGGCACCAGAGGAGGUAUGCCAAAUGGGAAACUUUUCAUCACUUUCCAGAUAAAAACUAGCAGUCUGUGAAGGCAACUGGUCUGAUUUUUCAGGAACCAGACACUGGAACAUGUCGUCUGAUGUACAUCACACCAAGAAAUAAAAAAAGAAUUGGAAAGCCAAUGUCCAAUUAUUUACUAAAACAGAAUCCACUGGAGAGAAAUGCAAAGGCAGGUAAAAAGGCAAUCUCUUAACAUGAAAACUCACAACUGUAAAAUGAGAACCUAAACUAUACAGCGACAAACUCAGGAAAAAGUCUCCAGCUACUGCUGUCUCUCAGACUCUCACAGUAUGUGUAACCACUUCCUCCUCUGCACGGAAUCACCCCAGAAGAUCAACUCUACUAGAUCAUUUGAGGACAAUGAACAAAGUCUCAAGACUGAAUUCCCACAGAAAACAUUCUCAUGAAACCACCCAAUAUUCUGGUGAAGUUAAAGAAGGGCAUGUGUUCGGAGACAACCAGAAGCAGCAAUGCUCAAAACCACAAAACUCUGGAUUGCCGACUCUGCACAUCCUGGUUCCUCUAGAUACAGUUCAGUGGCACAUUCACAAAUAAACGUUUUCAAAAACUGCCCUCAGGCAGUUCUAGAGAAAUGCUUUGACUUGCCUAAUGGUAUAAUGUCAAGAAAGGAAGACGAGCACUGAUCAUUCAUACUCAUUAUUACAGUCACAGGGCACUGUCUGACUUGACAGAUACAGCCGAGCAGUUAAAAGGUUAUGGGAAUUUAAGUCCAUUAUGGUCAUACGAUUCUUAUGGACCCAGAGAUAUGAAAUUAAUCAGCCACAUGUGUAGGGACAAAGUUUGUCAUAAAUAGAUAUAAGUUAUCUGCAUGCUAAGAACUUAGUUACUUAACUCUGUUUCCUCAUGUUAAUAUAAACAUAAUUAUAGAAUGCAAAUGAAAUACUUAGCCUGGAGCCUAUUAUAUAGGAAGCACUCAAUAAUUUCAAACUAUUGAGUAUAUUAUUAGAUAGGCUCCAUAAUUAUUUAUUCCUUUUUCAACAGACAGUAUGAUCUAUUGAAAAUAAAGCCAAACUAGAUUUCUUUGACCCACUCCUUUUUCUGUUUGUAUUGUUGGCAAGUUGUUCUAAAUCAACUUGCCAACAUACUAUUAACAUGUUAUUAACAUAGAAGGGAUGCUUAUUUUGUUUGCUUUGUAAGAAAUGCUUCUGAUUCAGUAACUGGGCAAUUUAUUUAAAUAUAAGUAAAAAGCAGAUUUUAUUAAAAACUACUUUGUGCUAUCAUAAAUAA